GACGAACGCUGGCGGCGUGGAUUAGGCAUGCAAGUCGAACGGUAUCAUCCUUUCGGGGGUGAGAGAGUGGCGAACUGGUGAGUAACACGUAGGUUAUCUACCCUCAAGACGGGGACAACCCAGGGAAACUUGGGCUAAUACCGGAUGUGAGCAACUUUUAGUUGUUUGAAAGGUGGCGUAAGCUGUCGCUUGGGGAUGAGCCUGCGUCCUAUUAGUUAGUUGGUGAGGUAACGGCUCACCUAGGCAAUGAUAGGUAGGCGGCCUUAACGGGUGGUCGCCCACACUGGGAUUGAGAUACGGCCCAGACUCCUACGGGAGCAGCAGUCGAGAAUAGUCUACAAUGGUCGGAAGACUGAUAGUGCGACGCCGGUGAACGAUGAAUCCCUUCGGGGUGUAAAGUUCUUUUAUAUGUGAGCAGUGCUUCUAUAUUAACAGUAUGGGGAAGAGAUAUUAGCAUAUGAAUAAGCAACGGCUAACUCCGUGCCAGCAGCCGCGGU
rnacentral:rRNA from 1 species